AGUGACGUCAAGUCCUCAUGGCCUUUAUGACCAGGGCUACACACGUACUACAAUGGCCGAUACAAAGGGCAGCGACACUGCGAGGUGAAGCCAAUCCCGUAAAAUACGGUCUCAGUCCGGAUUGGAGUCUGCAACUCGACUCCAUGAAGUUGGAAUCGCUAGUAAUCGUGGAUCAGCAUGCCACGGUGAAUACGUUCCCGGGCCUU
rnacentral:rRNA from 1 species